rnacentral:rRNA from 1 species
GAUUAACGCGAAGAACCUUACCUACCCUUGACAUGGUCGGAAUCCUGCUGAGAGGUGGGAGUGCUCGAAAGAGAACCGGCGCUCAGGUGCUGCAUGGCUGUCGUCAGCUCAUGUCGUGAGAUGUUGGGUUAAGUCCCGCAACGAGCGCAACCCUUGUCCUUAGUUGCUACGCAAGAGCACUCUAAGGAGACUGCCGGUGACAAACCGGAGGAAGGUGGGGAUGACGUCAAGUCCUCAUGGCCCUUAUGGGUAGGGCUUCACACGUCAUACAAUGGUCGGAACAGAGGGUUGCCAACCCGCGAGGGGGAGCUAAUCCCAGAAAACCGAUCGUAGUCCGGAUUGCACUCUGCAACUCGAGUGCAUGAAGCUGGAAUCGCUAAAUCACUAGU